GUGUCAGCAGCCGCGGUAAUACGUAGGGACCGAGCGUUGUCCGGAUUUAUUGGGCGUAAAGAGCUCGUAGGCGGCUGUCCAAGUCGGGUGUGAAAACUCGGGGCUCAACUCCGAGCCUGCAUUCGAUACUGGACGGCUAGAGUCUGGUAGGGGGAUCUGGAACUCCUGGUGUAGCGGUGGAAUGCGCAGAUAUCAGGAAGAACACCGGUGGCGAAGGCGGGAUCCUGGGCCAGUACUGACGCUGAGGAGCGAAAGCGUGGGGAGCAAACAGGAUUAGAAACCCGCGUAGUCC
rnacentral:rRNA from 1 species